rnacentral:tRNA from 1 species
UGGUGCCUGGCUGCUGGGCAGUGGCCAUGGCGGGCCGGACGCCAGUAUUGCCAACCUGUGGCAGUACGGUGGGUUCUUCCCCAACGGCAUCACC